rnacentral:rRNA from 1 species
GAUCAUGGCUCAGGAUGAACGCUAGCGGUGUGCCUAAUGCAUGCAAGUCGAACGGGAUCCUUUGGAUUCGUCUGAAGGUGAGAGUGGCGAACGGGUGAGUAACACGUUGGUGACCUGCCCCAGAGAGGGGAAUAACUAUUGGAAACGAUAGCUAAUACCCCGGAUGUUAUUGAGUUUAGAAAUCAAUGACUAAAGCUCCGGCGCUCUGGGAGGGGCCUGCGUCCCAUCAGCUAGUUGGUAAGGUAAUGGCUUACCAAGGCAAAGACGGGUAGGGGGCGUGAGAGCGUGACCCCCCACACUGGUACUGAAACACGGACCAGAUACCUACGGGUAGCAGCAGCAAGGAAUAUUGCGCAAUGGGCGAAAGCCUGACGCAGCAACACCGCGUGGAGGAUGAAGGCCUUCGGGUUGUAAACUCCUUUUCUAAGGGAAGAAAAAGGACGGUACCUUAGGAAUAAGGCCCGGCUAACUACGUGCCAGCAGCCGCGGUAAAACGUAGGGGUCGAGCGUUAUCCGGAUUUACUGGGCGUAAAGAGCAUGUAGGCGGCGAUUUAAGUCGGACGUGAAAGCUCCUGGCUCAACUGGGAGAGGUCGUUCGAAACUAGAUUGCUCGAGGAUGGUAGAGGUAAGUGGAAUUCUAGGUGUAGUGGUGAAAUGCGUAGAUAUCUAGAGGAACACCAGUGGCGAAGGCGGCUUACUGGGCCAUUCCUGACGCUGAGAUGCGAAAGCUAGGGGAGAGAACGGGAUUAGAAACCCCGGUAUUCCUAGCCGUAAACGAUGUCAACUAGGUGUAGGAGGUAUUGACCCCUUCUGUGCUGUAGCUAACGCGUUAAGUUGACCGCCUGGGGACUA